rnacentral:lncRNA from 8 species
AUGGCAGUCAUGGGGGGGGGGGGUUGUGUGUGUGUGUGUGUGUGUUUUCUGAGAGAAGUGGUUUAUGUCUUAAGUAUCCAGAGAGACUUACUAGAGGGACUUACUCUCCAGGGUAUUACGGGUGAGCAGCGGCCUUUUCUCUCGCUCUCUCUCUCGCUCUCUCUCUCGCCACUCAGCUCACAGUUCGGUCUAACCAUUGACAGGACAGCACCCAUGACUCCACUAACCGGGCUAAUGCAUGGAUUUGGACUGUACUGUUUGUUAACAGUGCCUCUAAUAUUUUCACGUGGCGAGGCGCUGCAGUGCUAUGGCUGUAACAUCCUCCAGGGCCAGAGGUACGUGGACGUGGGCUGCUCCAGCCCAGAGGUCAUCACUUGCUCCCACUCCCACAAAGGCUUCAAGCACCGCUUCUGCAUUAGGACAGAGAGCAGUGAGUACACUCCUCCUCACCCUCUCCCCCUCGACCUCCCCCUCACCCUUAUAUGGUUUACCCCACAGCCAUUCACUAUCAUGUGCUCAUUUAGGAUACACCCUACAUGCAUUGAGUUCCAGACCUGGGUUAAAAUAGUAGAAGAAUUACAUUCUUUAGCUCUCCUCUGUCAAAGAAUCUUAAUCUGGGUCAAGGAAUCUUAAUUUUUUUACAUUUUUAUUUCACCUUUAUUUAACCAGGUAGGCCAGUUGAGAACAAGUUCUCAUUUACAACUGUGACCUGACCAAGACAGAACAAAGCAGUGCGACACAAACAACACCGAGUUACACAUUGGAUAAACAAACGUACAGUCAAUAACAAAAUAGAAAAAUCUAUACAGUGUGUGCAAAUGUAGUAAGGUUAGGGAAGUAAGGCAAUAAAUAGGCCACAGUGGCGAAAUAAUUACAAUCUGGGUCAAGGAAUCUUAAUCUGGGUCAAGGAAUCUUAAUCUGAACCAAGCUGUCUUAAUCGGGGUCAAAUAAUCUUAAUCUGGGUCAAGGAAUCUUAAUCUUGGUAAAGGAAUCUUAAUCUGGGUCAAGGAAUCUUAUUCUGGGUCAAGAAAUCUUAAUCUGGGUCGAUGACAAUAACAUAGACCAUGAUAACAAGAUUGCAGUGACACAGAAAGCCCCCAUCUGAUUGAGAUUGUUCCAGGGAGACCUGGGGUCAUGGAUAAGUAAAGGGCUGUGAUAUGAUAAAUCCUGGACUGUGUUAAACAGGAAGCAUUGCUGGAGAGAUUAGAGGGGAUUGCUCUCUGAGUCCCAGGUCUAAUCCUGCACAGUAACUCUCUCAUCCCUGUCCGGGCAGCUGCUCUCUCAUUAUAUGCUUAUAGCAUCCCUCCCGUCUCCUUCUACCUAUCCACUAUCUCUCCUCCUCAGUGCCCAGUCCUCAGUUCAGUGUGUCCCCUGCUUGUCUCAAAUACCUGUCUUUUUCACUUACAGAUUUACAGUAUCUUUCACUGUCUGUACAUCUUUAUUAUGUGUAUGUGUGUGCAUGUGCAUGCGUGUUAUCACUGCAGGUGCCCUGGGCAUCGUGCUGACCAGUGGUUGUGCCACGUCUCGACACUGCCAGCAACAGGAGCUACCUGGGGUGCUGAUCCACUGCUGCGUCUCAGACCUCUGCAACAGCACCCCCGACUGGAGCAGAACGACAUUACACUGGCUGUGCUCGGUGGCUACACUGCUGCUCAUACUCUGGCUACAAUUGUGAGAGAGAGUCGCUGAGCAGAAACACACUGACUAGGGCCCACUUCUGCCCUACUGGUCAAUCCUGUGGCUGUGUCCUAGAUCAGUGGUUUCCAACCAGGGGAACUAGGACUCCUGGGGGUACUUGGCUAUCCACAGUGUGUACUUGAGAAGACAAGUAGGCCUACUGGUAAAAUGUACUUCAGAGGUACUCCGGAGCAGAGCAGCAUUCGGUUGGUGGUAUGGUAACCAAAAAAGGUUGGAAACCAUUGUCCUAGAGAAAAGCCAUUGGAGGAGAAUGAUCAAUGAGAGGCAGGAACCUGCACGGAUAAAUAGUGGAUGACGAUAGAAUGUUUAACGAUCGGCAAGCCUGUGAAUAUUGUUAUUUCCCUUACAUGGCUAAAAUGAGAUUAUGAAGGUAGUUAGUCAAAUAAGGGUUUUUGUGGUGAAUCGGUGUCAGUAAUGAUGUGUAGAUAUGUUGGGGGGGAGGGGUCAUGAGGUAGGGGUGGGGUGGGGGAGACAGAAUGGAAUGGAGAUUGGGAGAUGUCUUGGAGAAAAAUGUAAUGUUGAAAGGGCUAAAUAAUAUGUUUCUCUGAUUUGUUAGAUGAUGUUGUUAAUUUUUAUUGUUUAAGACUUUAGCCUGUUUGGUCAGCCAGUUAAGUAUGCUGUGUCUCCACUACUCUGUAUCUCCACUAGAGGGCAGCAUCUAAUUGUUUGACAUACACUACAUGACCAAAAGUAUGUGGACACCUGCUUGUCCAAAAUCAUAGACAUUAGUUUGGAGUUUGUCCCCCUUUUCUGCUAUAACAGCCUCCACUCUUCUGGGAAGGCUUUCCACAAGAUGUUGUAACAUUGCUGCAGGGACUUGCUUCCAUUCAGCCACAAGAGCAUUAGUGAGGUAAAGCACUGAUGUUGAGCGAUUAGGCUUGUCAGCAUUCUAAUUCAUCUCUAAGUUGCUCGAUGUGGUUGAGGUCAGGGCUUUGUGCAGGCUAGUCAAGUUCUUCCACACCGAUCUUCACAAACAAUUUCUGUAUGGACCUUGCUUUGUGGACAGGGGCAUUGUCAUGUUGAAACAGGAAACAGGAAAUGGCCUUCCACAAACUGUUGCCACAAAGUUGGAAGCACAGAAUCGUCUAGAAUGUCAUUGUAUGCUGUAGCGUUAAGAGCCCCAGACCAUUUUUUCUCCUCCAUCAAACUUUACAGUUGGCACUAUGCAUUCAGGCAGGUAGUGUUCUCCUGGCAUCCACCAAACCCAUAUUUGUCCGUCGGACUGCCAGAUGGUGAAGAGUUAUUCAUCACUCCAGAGAACGCGUUUCCACUGCUCCAGAGUCCAGUUGCGGCAAGCUUUACACCACACCACUCUGAUCUAGGCUUGUGGGCGGCUGCUCGACCAUGGAAACCCAUUUCACGAAGCUCCCGACAAACAGUUCUUCUGCUGACGUUGCUUCCAGAGGCAGUUUGGAAUUUGGUAGUGAGUGUUGCUAUGUCCUUCAGCACUCUGCGGUUCCGUUCUGUGAGCUUGUGUGAGCCGUUGUUACUCCUAGACAUUUGCACUUUUCAAUAACAGCACUUACAGUUGACCGGGACAGCCAUAGCAGGGCAGAAAUUUGAUAAACUGACUUGUUGGAAAGGUGGCAUCCUAUGACAGUGCCACGUUGAAAGUCACUGAGCUCUUCAGUAAGGCCAUUCUACUGCCAAUGUUUGUCUAUAAAGAUUGCAUGGCUGUGUGCUCGAUUUUAUACACCUGCCAGCAACGGGUGUGGCUGAAAAAGCCAAAUCCGCUCAUUUGAAGGGGUGUCCACAUGCUUUUGUACAUAUAUCCAGACACAUUUGCUGAAACUGUGCUGGAAAGGACUGCAUGAAAGAAAAAUAUCCAAGCAAGCACAGUGAGGUUUGAGACAGCUUUAAAUUAUGAAAAGUAUUUUGAAAGCCUGAGCUGUACAGUAUGUAUUCAACAUAAUAUCAGUUCCUGAUAUUCCGUAGCAGAUGGGAUGCAUCAGUGAAAUUAGGGGGAUGCAUUGUUGAAAUUAGGGAGAUGCAUCAGUGAAAUUAGGGGGAUGCAUCCGUGAAAUUUGGGGUAUGCAUCAGUGAAAUGACAGUAGAGGGGAUACAUCAGUGAAAUUAUGGGGAUGCAUCAGCAUCAGUGAAAUUAGGGGGAUGCAUCGUUGAAAUUAUGGGUUAGUGCAUUGUUCUAUACAAAUGGACAACUUAGGUUAACUAGAAGACAACCUCUUGAGUUCCUUGAUACUGAUUUGAUGUUAAAAAGUUAAAUUUUCCUCUUCAGAAAGGUCUUCUAAAUGCAUACAAAUGUCUAAAAUGAGCUUGUCUUUGGCUUUUCUCUCUUUUGUUUUAGUUUUUUCAUUUGUCUGGCAAAUCAGGUAUCAAUGGGAAAAACAGAGAGAGAGAGAGAGGGGUGAGUGAGAGAGAGACGUGGGGGGAGGAGAAAAAGGGAGAGUAUAGGACAGUAUAGGAAAAAGCUUUGCACUCUCAUCCAUUUCCUCACACGCUGCCUGUCUCAUCUUGGAUCCAUCCAUUCUUUCCUGAUGCCAUCAAAACCAUAGACCAAAAAAUUGAGGAAACAGAGGACUUAACAUGCCUUCAUUAAUAAGGAGAAGUGAAAAAUAUUUUUAAAUAAUAUCCCAACUGAAGUGCUCUUCUGGCUGACUGUUAAACCCAUGCAUGUUCUACAUACUGUACAUACUAACAUAAUGAGUAGAGUCGUGGCUGGCGGAGUGCAGCUCAAUUAUGAAUGGUAACACAUUCAUAAUUGAGCUUGUGUGUGGAGUCCCGUUCCUACGUGGUUUCCACAUUAAUGAUGGUCAGGCAGGUCUGCGAGAAGGUGAAGAGAUCCAACCCUAUUCCCUAUACCAGGGUCCCCAAUUUCAUUCAGCCGUGGGCAGAUUUUUCCUUGAGCGCAAGAAUCCUGAACGGAUAUAGUAUUUGACAAAAACAUAAUUAUUUCAAGCCUUGUGUAACGCCCUGGCCAUAGAGAGGGGUUUUUGUCCUUUAUUUUGGUUAGGCCAGGGUGUUACAUUGGGUGGGCGUUCUAUGUUCCUUUUUCUAUGUUUUGGUAUUUCUUUGUUUUGGGCCGUGUGUGUGGCUCCCAAUCAGGCACAGCUGAAACUCGUUGUUGCUGAUUGGGAGUCACACAUAAGGAGCAUGUUUUUCCUUUGGGUUUUGUGGGUAAUUGUUUCUGUUUUGAGUAAGUUCCUAACAGGACUGUUUGCUGUCAUUUUUGUUCAUUUUGUAGUGUUCUCUUGU